CUCUAAAAAAAUUAAAAUCCAGCCUCAAAAACAUCUAACGUAAUCAAUCAAUGAAAUUGACAAAAGCAUACAAAUAUUAGAUUCGCAAAGUUGGGGCUCGUUGAAAUCACUUCACUAGCUUCUUCUAUCUGAACAAUAAUACUCACACCAAUGGCAUCAAACUCUUUCUGCCACAAGCAAUUGUUCAAGUUCCUCCCUCCGCCGCUCCAAUUCCUCCAGAUCCUUGACUGCCUGCUCCCUUGUAAUUUCCUUAUGCUGGCGAGCACGUUUGAGAAAACCAAUGCAUAGAAUUCCCGAAACAACAUAGACCACACCACAAGCAAGAAGCAUAUAGCUUGCUAUAUU
rnacentral:misc_RNA from 1 species